rnacentral:rRNA from 1 species
UACAGAGGGUGCAAGCGUUAAUCGGAAUUACUGGGCGUAAAGCGUGCGUAGACGGUCAUGUAAGUCGGGUGUGAAAGCCCCGGGCUCAACCUGGGAAUGGCAGUGGAAACUAGGGGACUGGAAUCUGGCAGAGGGGGGUGGAAUGCCGCGUGUAGCAGUGAAAUGCGUAGAGAUGCGGCGGAACACCGAUGGCGAAGGCAGCCCCCUGGGCUGAGAUUGACGCUCAGGCACGAAAGCGUGGGGAGCAAACAGG